rnacentral:lncRNA from 1 species
CUGCUACUCACAGUGAACUGUUGCCCACUAGAUGCUCUGAACACACAGUUCAUGGCCCCUGUGACCUUCUGAGCAUUGAAGAUGCAUUCAAGCUUGGCCAGAAUAUGGCAAAGGCAAGGGGACUUGCCUCAAGGUACAGAAUUGAGAUGGCAUUGCAUGAAACACAGCCAUCGGCAUCUCUGUAGACACUGACUCACUUUCAGAAUUAUAGGUUCCAGGAUAUGGAAUAGAGGGGGAAGAAACCCAGGGAGAGCCCUUCUCAGGCAGAUGAAGCACUUUGAGUGCUGUUCUGGAAAGAGCCACUCCCACCAGCUAUAAAAUUUCACAAAUCCACAAAACAAACAAGUUGCCAUUCUGCAAAACCCUCAUACCUAUGGAAUCCUCAUUUCCUGCGAGGUGUGGAUUUCAGCUAUUUUUAACCUGGAUGUGUUCUGUGAUAUGUUUCCCACACAGCACAGAAACUGGCACAGCUGAGGGGCCGGGAGCCAGGAGGGCUGGCGCUCGGGACACCUCCUCCUGGUGCGCUGCCAAGGACGGUGGCCGUGUCCUGCGGCCAGGGCGGUGGCCCCGGGCACUCGGCAUCCGUCCUGCGGCUCGCCGACCCUCCCCUCGAGACCUACUUCUGCCGGGACAGGCAAGGCUGGCAGCUUCGAAAAAAAUCACAGCUCCAUUGUGCUCCAAAGUCAUACUGAAUGAUUCAGAUGGAAAGAAAAACCCACGUCAGAAGGAACAGGGGACUCAAAGACCAGUGUCGAGGCCAGCAGACCAGGGACAUCUAUCCCACGCAGCAGACACCCUGAGAAUGUUGUACCCUGGGACAGCAGCGACAUUGUGGUUUACCCCUCUGUGGAAGACAAGUGCUGCUCCCGGUAUUGGGGUGUCCCUGAGCACCUCUGGCCCCACGGGACUGGCAUCGAUUGCCUGGGGGUGCUGGGGCAGCAGGAAAACCAUGCUGUCCUACCUGGAGGAUGCUGAUCCAGCUCCCAGCAGCUGGGGGAGAUGA